CCUGGUAUCGUCUAGUGGUUAGGACACCAGGUUUUGAUUGCGCCUGAUGUCCUGGUAACCUGGGUUCGACUCCCAGUACCAGGU
rnacentral:tRNA from 1 species